AUGGAAGAGGAGGAGGAUCUUGCAAUGAUCCUAUCUAUGCACAUCAAUAAAAAACCGAAGCACGGUGGUUCGAUUAUGGGUCGGCAGAAAAUUUGGAGGGAUAGGAUCGAUGUCCACAACAAAUCGAUGAUGCACUAUUUUGUGGAGAAUCCCACAUACCCCGAGUCAUACUUUCGUUGCCGGUUUAGGAUGAGCACCGAGUUGUUUAGGCGCAUUAUAGAGAAACUAGCGAGCCAUGACCAGUUUUUUCAGCAGAGGAGGAAUGCUGCCGGAGAGCUCGGACAUAGCACCUUUCACAAGGUGACAGCCGUUUUGCGUAUGUUGGCAUACAGUAUCUCCGCUGAUCUAGUUGAUGAUCACUUGGCCAUGGGUGAGAGCCAAGCCAUAAUGUGUGUCAAGCGCUUUGCAGUCGGAAUUAUGCAAGUGUUUGACCCGGAGUAUUUGAGAUCUCCCAAUGCUGAAGACGCCGCAAGACUAUUGGAGAUGAACAAAGCUCGCGGGUUCCCAGGUAUGCUUGGCUCAAUAGAUUGCAUGCAUUGGAGUUGGAAGAAUUGUCCAAAGGCAUGGCAUGGGCAAUUCCACGGCCAAAAAAAGGGUUCCACUAUAAUCCUUGAAGCGGUGGCCGAUCAAGAGACUUGGAUUUGGCAUGAUUUUUUUGGAAUGCCUGGAUCUUUGAAUGACAUCAACGUUGUCCACUGGUCACCACUGAUGAAUAAGAUUGCAAAUGGUGAACUGCCACCGGUGCAGUUUGUAGCAAAUGGCUGUUCAUACAACUAUGGGUACUAUCUUGCGGAUGGCAUCUACCCAAAGUGGCAAACAUUUGUGAAGCCGUUGAAAAAACCGAAAGGUAAGAAAAAUCUUGAUUUCCACAAUGCUCAGGCGGUGGCUAGAAAAGAUGUGGAGAGAGCUUUUGGGAUUUUGCAAGCCCAAUUUGCUAUUGUGAGAGGACCGGCUAGAUUUUUGAAUAAAAAAUGCUUUGGUACAUAA
rnacentral:rRNA from 1 species